AGUCCUGAGGAGCAUCUCCAGAGGCUUACACUUCUAAGAUUUUCUGGGCACCGGAGAGAAGCAAGGGAGCCUUAUAGGAAAGUUAAAAAGGCCCUCCGAGAUUCUUAAAUUCAAUCCACAAUCUCUAGGGGCUCUGGCCCUCUUCUGCUGGGGUCAUGGAGGUGCUGUGAGCCACUGGGACGGGGUCCACUACCUCAGGAGACCUCUGCUCAGGACAAGUUGGCAGGGGAUGGAGGCUGUUGGUGGUGGUAUGGAGAAGAUGUCAAGAGUUCCCACGUCUGCGCCCUUCCGUAAGGCGCAGGUUGAGGCUGGUUUAGGAACAAGCCCGCUAGCGAGGCUUAUGCGGUUCAUUUUUUAGGUCGACGUUUUCAAAAGUUCCUAUACUUUUGUUGUUAGUAUUCAUAUCUUUACUACAAAUGGAAGCCCUUUGAUCACGUUACUCUCCUCAGGGGUUUGAGACCCCACUAGGAGUGGGCAGGCACGUUCAUGACGCUUGAAGGUCUGCUUGUUCCAGAGUUUUCCGGGAGGACCUCUAGGCCGCAGGAGCACCCUACAGGCAGCGUCCAGGAAAGGGGGUUGGCGCAUUCCCUCUGGGCUGCACUUGUAGCAGGUCAGAGGGUUCCAGCAAAGGCCUCUCCCUUGACUCUGCAACCUAAGGUCAGCUUUUCGAGGUUCCCCCUAUCCCGGGGCAAGGCCGCCAAUUUUCCAUCGGAUUUUACAGUCUGGCUCCGUAGGUGUGCCCGAGCCCAAGCUCCACCAGAGCAGGGUAGGGUGGGGAAGUUAUCCGGCUUCAGAAUGUUUCAGGUGGGGCCUCCCUAGGAGGGCCUGGAAUGCCGGAAAUGCGCGUCCCCAGCCCCCACCCUGGGUGGAAGGACCUGGUCCUCCCGCCUCCCAAGAAUCCCGCAUUUCCCAAGACUCCCCAGCCUCCGGCGGCCGUCGCGCGCGCGCGGCGUAAGUACGCAGAGGCGCCGGGCGCGUCUGGCGCCCCUCUCCCGCUGGGCUGCGCCCUACGUGGAGACGACUGCCGCCGAAUUUGGCCCGGUCCAGACUCCAGACCCGGGCCCGCCCGCUCCUCACACCCGGCCUUUGCGAGAAAGUGAACUAGGGGGAGAGGCGAGCCCCGGGGACCCUGGGCGAGCUCGGACCCCACAAGGCUCGCCGGGCUGUACCGGGCGGUGCAGAGACGGGACUCUGGGGUGGGGGGGCGCGCCCCCUCCUGAGCCUCUUUCUCCUACCCCCGACUACUGGAAGGAAGAGAAAAGUCAGCUAUGCGCCAUGUAGGUGUGACCACAAGUGGCCGCGGCACGGAAGCGAUAACAUUGUGUAGCGGUCAGAACCCACGGCCAGCUCGCGGCGGGGAAGGGGCCUGGGGGUCGCUCCCCGCCUCAGCCUCCGGGCUCUCGGGACGACCUUCGGUGACACGCCAGCGCCUAGGGCCACGGAGAUCCAGGGCUCACGCCUCUUCGAACCGGCUGUGCAAGGAGGGCAUCUCCUUCCUCAAACUUACUUGCUGGGAAGCAGCGGGGGCGCGGCGGGGGAGACCCCUUGGAACGUUUCCGUGUGUUCAGAAGUGAACUAGCAGCGCAGACGCCUCUCACAGCGGCUCGUCUCCCAGGCUAAGCAGCCAGGUCUCGGUUUUGCGCCUCUGGACCUUAUUGAAUGUCAUUGAAGAAAGUUUUGAAUGCCAGAUAAAGAGAGGCGAAUUAAAGUGUGUGACAGCGGAGGAUAAGCAAACACAAAGAGAACUCUGUCACACUUUGGGGCAAAAUCCGUGGGCUUUUUACCAAGUCUCUUCGCUAUGAUUGAAUUAAGUAAUAGGAAAACAUUUUCUUUCAGUUUAGAGCCAUUAGACAAAAACUUCAAAGCGAAUAACACUUUUUAAUGUGCGGCCCACAAUGGAUCGGGUUUUGUGCUGAAAUGUUUAAAUGGUUUGUUGUGCAACUCGGCGCGGGAGAGACCCGGGCCCAAGCAAAAUAGCAUCCCUGAGAGGGUUUUCGGGAGGCCUGGAAAGGACGCACACUUAAUCCGCCGUCGCUAAACCCGGAGGGCGGCGGGCGGCAGGCGGAACGGGGGCUCCUGCUUGGCGGUCCCGGGCAGCGCGGCGCGCCCCCAGGAGUUGGGGGAUUUCGGGAAAGUACUGUGCCCACGGAGAAUGCCGGGCCGCAGCGGAGGCGCACCGGGCGGCCGGGAAAACGUGCGGCCCCGCUAGGGGAGCGAGCUCGGCUAGGUGCUCAGUGCCUCUCAGCUCCGCCGCCCAGCCCGUCGGCCUCGGCUGGCCGCUUGGCUUCCGGCCUCUGCCCUCGCAUCCCGGGGGACCGGUUCCCGGGGACGCCCUGGCUGCCGCGCUGCUGUCCCGGUCGAAGCCCCUUCCGGGUCUGGCUUCAGCUGGGUUUGAACUUUACUCACAGAGUUAACGGCCCCCUUGGGCUGGCAGGGUGGGAGGAGGCGGCUGGAUUAGCCUGACAACCCGAGAGAGGGGCCCCGGGGAGCCCCUCGGCCUGGUGGGCCUUGCUCUGCCCCCGGAGCUGGUUUUCAAGUGUCCAUCAGGGACAGUUCAACAUGGAAUGAUUUCUGUUGUCCCGCUCUUUUCUCUUUCACACUGCCUCCUUUCCUGUUGGUAGAGAGAGCACGCCAUUUUUCUCCUGGAAAUGUAUCUCUAAAAUAUUUGCAGCGAAUAGAUCUCUGCAAAAACUGCAGAAAUUGGGAGGAGGGUGGGGAAUCCUUGUUCCUUUACAUCUUCAAAUGUCACUUUUCUUCUCAUGGAGGUCAACCACCCUAUUAAAAAAUAUGACUCCUUUUUCACCGCGUCCCCCACUCCAGUUCCUUGCUUUACAAAUACCUUCUAUCUUUCUGUGUCUUUUACUUGUUUUUCUGUCCCUGCCUCCCUCUCACCCCACUGAAACAUAUGCUCCAUCGAGGAUCACCCUAUUUGUCUAUCUUGUGCAUGACUGUAUCCACCUCAGAAAAGUUCCUGGCACAUAGUAGGUGCUCAGUGUAUAUUUGCUGAAUAAAUAAAUGAAUCCCAUGCAUGACUCCGGAAGUAGCAUGGGUAAGAGGA